GGGGCUGUGGUUUAGUGGUAUAACGUUUCUUUCGCAUAGAAAAGGUCCUUGGUUCGAUUCCUAGCUGCUCCA
rfam:Arthrobotrys oligospora ATCC 24927 unplaced genomic scaffold scaffold00007, whole genome shotgun sequence.